UACGGAGGGUGCGAGCGUUGUCCGGAAUCACUGGGCGUAAAGGGCGCGUAGGCGGCAUGCCAAGCGUGUGGUGAAAGCCCGGGGCUCAACCCCGGGUCGGCCGUGCGGACUGGCGUGCUCGAGCACUGUAGGGGCGGGUGGAAUUCCGGGUGUAGCGGUGGAAUGCGUAGAGAUCGGGAAGAACAUCAGUGGCGAAGGCGGUCUGCUGGGCCGUUGCUGACGCUGAGGCGCGACAGCGUGGGGAGCAAACAGG
rnacentral:rRNA from 1 species